rnacentral:rRNA from 1 species
AUGCUUGAACAAGCCCCAGUGCGGUUGACAGCCCAGAAAACCCUCACACAUGGACACGAACGCGGCAAGAUAGGCGAUAGAAUUUGGGGUAAAGUGGUGGAGCUGCGCUCCAAAGAAGUUCAAGAAACCACGGAAGAAAAUGCUCGGCGGCAAAGAAAAUCCACGAUCAACAUGGGUGGCCAAGAGCACGCACUCACCCUCUUCUGGCUGGGGCUGCCACUCCUUCCCCGGAAGCCUCGCAGCUCCAUGGGGGAUCAGCCCUCGUUGGCCAUGUCGAGGAGAUCUUUCUCCGUGAUGGUCGACUGGAUCCAAUCUCCUUGGACCCAGCCCUUCGGCAGGCGGGAUCUAGACGAAGACCCGCCGCGGCUGGUGGAUCUCUUCUUCGCCUUCUCCGUCGCCGACGCCUUCUUCGCACGUUCCAGCGCCGCCGUCUUCUCCUUGGCCAUGGUUGCCGGCGAGACGCGCGGGGAGAGGUUGGGCGGAGGCGAGAGCGAGCGCGUCGGGCGGAGACGAAGGGAGCAGAGAAAGAGAAUGCUGAGGCACUGUACAAAAAACCCUCGCCGGGCGCAUUUAUAA